rnacentral:rRNA from 1 species
AGUGAACGCUGGCGGUAGGCCUAACACAUGCAAGUCGAACGGCAGCACAGUAAGAGCUUGCUCUUACGGGUGGCGAGUGGCGGACGGGUGAGGAAUACAUCGGAAUCUACUUUUUCGUGGGGGAUAACGUAGGGAAACUUACGCUAAUACCGCAUACGACCUACGGGUGAAAGCAGUGGAUCUUCGGACCUUGCGCGAUUGAAUGAGCCGAUGUCGGAUUAGCUAGUUGGCGGGGUAAAGGCCCACCAAGGCGACGAUCCGUAGCUGGUCUGAGAGGAUGAUCAGCCACACUGGAACUGAGACACGGUCAAGACGACUAAGGGAGGCAGCAGUGGGGAAUAUUGGACAAUGGGCGCAAGCCUGAUCCAGCCAGACCGCGUGGGUGAAGAAGGCCUUCGGGUUGGAAAGACCUUUUGUUGGGAAAGAAAAGCAGCAGGUUAAGACCCCGCUGUUCUGACGGUACCCAAAGAAUAAGCACCGGCUAACUUCGUG